ACUCAACUGACGAGUUCCAAAUAGGAUUAAAUGUACGUCCUGAAU
rnacentral:hammerhead_ribozyme from 1 species